GGGGGGGGGGGGGGGGGGGGGUGGGGGAGGGGGGGGGGGGGAGCGGACGGGGAGCUUGGUCCUCGGACGUUAGCGGCGGACGGGGGAGUAACACGUGGCUCACCUACCUAUAAGACUGGGCUAACUUCGGGAAACCGGAGCUAAUACCGGAUAAUCUAUUGAACCGCAUGGUUCAAUAGUGAAAGACGGGUUUGCUGUCACUUAUAGAUGGAUCCGCGCCGCAUUAGCUAGUUGGUAAGGUAACGGCUUACCAAGGCAACGAUGCGUAGCCGACCUGAGAGGGUGAUCGGCCACACUGGAACUGAGACACGGUCCAGACUCCUACGGGAGGCAGCAGUAGGGAAUCUUCCGCAAUGGGCGAAAGCCUGACGGAGCAACGCCGCGUGAGUGAUGAAGGUCUUCGGAUCGUAAAACUCUGUUAUUAGGGAAGAACAAAUGUGUAAGUAACUAUGCACGUCUUGAUGGUACCUAAUCAGAAAGCCACGGCUAACUACGUG
rnacentral:rRNA from 1 species